rnacentral:rRNA from 1 species
GUGCCAGCAGCCGCGGUAAUACGGAGGGUGCAAGCGUUAAUCGGAAUUACUGGGCGUAAAGCGCGCGUAGGUGGCUUGAUAAGCCGGUUGUGAAAGCCCCGGGCUCAACCUGGGAACGGCAUCCGGAACUGUCAGGCUAGAGUGCAGGAGAGGAAGGUAGAAUUCCCGGUGUAGCGGUGAAAUGCGUAGAGAUCGGGAGGAAUACCAGUGGCGAAGGCGGCCUUCUGGACUGACACUGACACUGAGGUGCGAAAGCGUGGGUAGCAAACAGGAUUAGAUACCCUGGUAGUCCACGCCGUAAACGAUGUCGACCAGCCGUUGGGUGCCUUAGAGCACUUUGGUGGCGAAGUUAAACGCGAUAAGUCGACCGCCUGGGGAGUACGGCCGCAAGGUUAAAACUCAAAUGAAUUGACGG